CCUCCAAGGCUAAAUACUCCUGACUGACCGAUAGUGAACCAGUACCGUGAGGGAAAGGCGAAAAGAACCCCGGCGAGGGGAGUGAAAAAGAACCUGAAACCGUGUACGUACAAGCAGUGGGAGCACCUUUAUGGUGUGACUGCGUACCUUUUGUAUAAUGGGUCAGCGACUUAUAUUCUGUAGCAAGGUUAACCGAAUAGGGGAGCCGCAGGGAAACCGAGUCUUAACUGGGCGAAUUAGUUGCAGGGUAUAGACCCGAAACCCGGUGAUCUAGCCAUGGGCAGGUUGAAGGUUGGGUAACACUAACUGGAGGACCGAACCGACUAAUGUUGAAAAAUUAGCGGAUGACUUGUGGCUGGGGGU
rnacentral:rRNA from 1 species